AACGAUACUUUGUAUAUACUUUAACAACUCUCUCAGGUUUCUUUCUUUCUUAAAGAUUUUUAUUUAUUUGACAGAGAGAGUGCACAAGCAGGGGAAAUAGCAGGGGGAGAAGGCUCUGCAGGGAGUCCCAGGACACUGGGAUCAUGACCUGAACCAAAGGCUGACGCUUAGGCAACUGAGCCACCCAGGUGCCCCAACAACUUUCUCAGGUUUCUCUAAGAAUUUCUAUUUUAUGCAGGGCCAGGCUUGGACUAUUAUGAAUGUUGCUGAACACUGUUAAUCAAGCUUACACAGCUAUUUUGAUGGCAAACAAUUAGAACUCUGCAGCUCUACCUUGCAAUUAGCUUCAGGGAUAUGGACCUCAGCACCAUAAUAAUGAAAGAGACCUCCUUCAAGCACGACUUCCAAGCAUUGCUGUUACCAAAUUUCAUCAGCCAACUAUCUGCUGUGGCCUGUCAAACAGAAUCCACGUGCAUGAUCUGGAUUUUGAUUCGGGGAGCGCUUGCAAAAGAAUUAGUAGCAAAACAGGAUCCUGAAAGUUUUUCAAAGAAUCCUUUCAAGAACAACUCAAGUCACUGCAUAUGGCUGCAGUUGGGGCUCACCACAUUUGUUGAUUUUUUUUUUUCCUGCCAAGAAUGGCUACAAUGCAGAAAAUUAGAAGAUGUAGGUGUUUAG
rnacentral:lncRNA from 1 species